UCCAGCUGGUCCUCCUUGAUGAGGCGCUCGUUCACGUCCAAAGCCUGACCGCAGGCUUCUGCGAACUGCCUGCAGAGGACAAAUUAAGGAAGAGCAGCUGGAGGACCAGGAGG